CCAGACUCCUACGGGAGGCAGCAGUAGGGAAUCUUUCACAAUGGGCGAAAGCCUGAUGGAGCAACGCCGCGUGCAGGAUGAAGGCCUUCGGGUUGUAAACUGCUUUUAUAAGCGAGAAAUAUGAUGGUAACUUAUGAAUAAGGAUCGGCUAACUACGUGCCAGCAGCCGCGGUAAUACGUAGGUGGCAAGCGUUGUCCGGAUUUACUGGGUGUAAAGGGCGUGCAGCCGGGAGUGCAAGUCAGAUGUGAAAUCCCGCGGCUCAACCGCGGAACUGCAUUUGAAACUGUGCUUCUUGAGUGCUGGAGAGGCAGACGGAAUUCCUAGUGUAGCGGUGAAAUGCGUAGAUAUUAGGAGGAACACCAGUGGCGAAGGCGGCCUGCUGGACGACAACUGACGGUGAGGCGCGAAAGCGUGGGGAGCAAACAGGAUUAGAUACCCCCGUAU
rnacentral:rRNA from 1 species